GCGGAGGAGCUGCGCAUGCGCUAUGGUUUGACAGCGCCUGGUGGGCGUGGUCUCCCCUUGCACAGCUGGGGCAGAGCCUUUGCUUACAGACCAAGCUGCCGCCGUUCAAACCCAGGCGGUUUUCUCCUGUCACUGCCCCUCGCCGCGCACGUGGGCGGGAGCGCUCCUGGGCCCUGGCCCCGCCCAUGCUGCGAUCCCAGCAUGCCGCGCGCGGAUUUGCAUCUAACACUGUGCAGCGGCGUGCACAUUUUCAGAGAUUUGCGGGGAAAGGACGAGCUAGAGGGGGAGCUAACCCCGGGGAUGCUCUCAGAGGGACUGGACGUAUCUUCUUGCGCGAAAGUUGGCGACUCGCCCUCACUGAACAAGAAAUAGUUUUAAAUCUCCCUGUUUGCCAUCGGACACCUCCAGGGAAGGAAUCCUACUGAUCUACACAACAAAGAGCAACUCUGAACGGCUCAGAGACACUCAGAGAUACUCUCAUGGACCCAGAGGGAUAGCUUUUUCAUCUCCAGCUCCCUCUGUGAAAAAAUGAAGUUUAUUUCCUAUCUAUGGGGACUUUUUACCAUCUUUAAUUUUCCCAAAGCCUGAUGAAGGGCCUUUGAGCCCAAAAAGCUUGCAAUAAAAGAUAUCAGAUUCACACAA